rnacentral:pre_miRNA from 1 species
AGUGGGAUUGCUGGGCCAUGUGUUUGCUUAACUUCAUAAGAAACUGGCAAACUGUUUUCCAAAGUUGCUGUACCAUUCUGCGUUCCCACCAGCAAU